rnacentral:rRNA from 1 species
AUUGAACGCUGGCGGCAUGCUUUACACAUGCAAGUCGAACGGUAACAGGCCGCAAGGUGCUGACGAGUGGCGAACGGGUGAGUAAUGCAUCGGAACGUGCCCAGUCGUGGGGGAUAACGCAGCGAAAGCUGUGCUAAUACCGCAUACGAUCUAUGGAUGAAAGCGGGGGACCGUAAGGCCUCGCGCGAUUGGAGCGGCCGAUGUCAGAUUAGCUAGUUGGUGGGGUAAAGGCCCACCAAGGCGACGAUCUGUAGCUGGUCUGAGAGGACGACCAGCCACACUGGGACUGAGACACGGCCCAGACUCCUACGGGAGGCAGCAGUGGGGAAUUUUGGACAAUGGGCGCAAGCCUGAUCCAGCUAUGCCGCGUGCAGGAAGAAGGCCUUCGGGUUGUAAACUGCUUUUGUACGGAACGAAACGGUCUGGGUUAAUACCCUGGGCUAAUGACGGUACCGUAAGAAUAAGCACCGGCUAACUACGUGCCAGCCGCCGCGGUAAAAC